rnacentral:lncRNA from 1 species
UUUAAUUAUGGUCUGAAAAAAUCAAGAUAACACAAGAGAUGCUCCGACAGCAGUGUUUAUAACCCUGCCUGUAGCUCUGCAGUCCUCUGGAUAUUGUUAUCCUCAUUUUGCAACGAGGUAAAACGAGGCAAAAUCAGGUCGGGUGACUGCAGCAGAUAAGAGACUCCUGCUUCCUCCUCGCCAGCUGCUGAGCAGCAGAUGGUGAUGUGCCUGGGAAGAGAACGCAAACCGCGUGUCUGAGGGUGUGGGGAGUCCCAGGCUCACGCGUGGAGAGGCUGGCGAAUGACCCCAGUGCUGCCGCGUUUCCGCAUCCUGAGGAGCCGGUAGGUAAAAGCAACCGAAGUCCUGUAUUUGCUGUUACAGCGUUUAGCACCGUCUCUUAGUUGC